AGUCUGAUGGAGCAACGCCGCGUGAGUGAAGAAGGGUUUCGGCUCGUAAAGCUCUGUUGGUAGUGAAGAAAGAUAGAGGUUGUAACUGGCCUUUAUUUGACGGUAAUUACUUAGAAAGUCACGGCUAACUACGUGCCAGCAGCCGCGGUAAUACGUAGGUGGCAAGCGUUGUCCGGAUUUAUUGGGCGUAAAGCGAGUGCAGGCGGUUCAAUAAGUCUGAUGUGAAAGCCUUCGGCUCAACCGGAGAAUUGCAUCAGAAACUGUUGAACUUGGGUGCAGAAGAGGAGAGUGGAACUCCAUGUGUAGCGGUGGAAUGCGUAGAUAUGUGGAAGAACACCAGUGGCGAAGGCGGCUCUCUGGUCUGCAACUGACGCUGAGGCUCGAAAGCAUGGGUAGCGAACAGGAUUAGACACCCUGGUAGUCCAUGCCGUAAACGAUGAGUGCUAAGUGUUGGGAGGUUUCCGCCUCUCAGUGCUGCAGCUAACGCAUUAAGCACUCCGCCUGGGGAGUACGACCGCAAGGUUGAAACUCAAAGGAAUUGACGGGGGCCCGCACAAGCGGUGGAGCAUGUGGUUUAAUUCGAAGCAACGCGAAGAACCUUACCAGGUCUUGACAUCCAGUGCAAACCUAAGAGAUGAGGAGU
rnacentral:rRNA from 1 species